rnacentral:rRNA from 1 species
CCUACGGGGGGCAGCAGUGAGGAAUAUUGGUCAAUGGUCGCGAGCCUGAACCAGCCAAGUAGCGUGAAGGAUGACUGCCCUACGGGUUGUAAACUUCUUUUAUCAAGGAAUAAAGUGAGGCACGUGUGCCUUUUUGUAUGUACUUUAUGAAUAAGGAUCGGCUAACUCCGUGCCAGCAGCCGCGGUAAUACGGAGGAUCCGAGCGUUAUCCGGAUUUAUUGGGUUUAAAGGGAGCGUAGAUGGGUUGUUAAGUCAGUGGUGAAAGUUUGCGGCUCAACCGUAAAAUUGCAAUUGAUACUGGAAGUCUUGAGUACAGGUGAGGUAGGCGGAAUGCGUGGUGUAGCGGUGAAAUGCUUAGAUAUCACGAAGAACUCCGAUUGCGAAGGCAGCUUACUAAACUGCCACUGACAUUGAUGCUCGAAAGUGUGGGUAUCAAACAGGAUUAGAUACCCGAGUAGUC